GCCCCUGGAGCAUAAACCCACACACGUGUCGACACGAUGACCUGGGUGCCGUUGGCAAAGCCGCCGGUUGGUCAUUGGGAUGCGUGGAGGCCUAAC
rnacentral:sRNA from 1 species